UGCUGCCACAAUCAUUUCUUUCUGCCUUAGCCACCGCACCACAGCAGCGGAUGCGUUAUCUUCGUCUUCAGUUUGGAUUUAAAUAAGCUGAAUGAGGAAUUUUGCUGAUUCUUCUUCAAGACUUUGACUUUCUCCACAAGAUUUCACAAUCUUAAUUGUUCACCCGAUCGGAGCUCCACCUGUAGUAGUUCUAAAGUCCUAUUGCGUGGAAGUGGGGUUUUAACUUCUCAAUCAGCCUACCAGAGCAUUGGAAGUAAAAGGUUAUGUUCAUCAACAUAUGAGUUUGGGCGGAGGUGCUCAAAGACUUCAAUUCAUCCCAGAAUUGUGCCAGCCAUUAGAGCAGCCCAUGCUUUAGGUCCGUUGAAACAAAGAGAGAAACAGGGAAGCAAGGACCAAAAUCCAAACCUUACACAGAAGGAGGAAUAGGACCUGCGUCAAACAACAAAAGCUGAGAUAAGGAAAGAGGGGGAUUGAGAAUCCAAUCCGGAGGACACACUUUCCUAUAAGCAAGACGAGCAACACAAUGUGCCACUGCGUUUGCAAUCCUGCUGGACCAAGUCCAGCUAACUGAAAACAAAAGAUCUAGAUAAAGCUGCAAUAGCUUGAACAACUGGAGCAACAGACCAAUCUACCACCUCCGAAUGAUUGUUGAGAGCAUUGAUAAGAUAUAGCGAGUCUGAUUCCAUAACAAUGGAAGAAAGAGAUAAAGAGGAAGCAAGAGAGAGAGCUUCCAAUAUAGCUAAACCUUCUGCAACGAUUGCCUAAAUUGCCGGCACUGGUUUAGCAGAACCAACGAAGAGAUGCCCAGUAGAGUCGUGAAACAAGGCUGCAAUACCUCCACAGACAGAAGGACCAUCCCAAGCCGCGUCCAUGUUCACCUUUACACUUCCCAGCUCUGGAGGAAUCCAUCGUGGAGGAGACAAUGUAGAAGUGUGGUGCAACACUGUAGAAGAAUUGGAGAGAAGAUGAAGGAACUCUAGAGUUGCUGAAUGAGCCUUCCGAGCAACCAGUAAUGGAUUUGGGGAGCAAUGGUCAAAGACGCAUGCACAUUUGGCUUCCAAAUGUGCCAAACCAUAAAGGCCAUAUGAGAAAGCAAAUGAGAAGAAACAUGAGGGGCAGACUGAGAAAGGCCAAUCAGGUCCUCAAACCAACUAUCCAAAGCAGUAAUGGAUCUUAGUGGCACUUUGUAACUCACCAGAAAUAUGGACUUGUUUGAACAGUCAAUUCUAAACUACUCUUAAUGAAUGGCUUAUUCAUUUUUUAAAAGGUAAUUUAGCCUUUUUGAACUCUCUCACUCUCUCUCUCUCCCUCUCUCCCUCCCUGUCUCUUUCCCACCCAUCCUCUCCCCUACCCACACUACUAGAAUUUUGCUCUUAGACAUCAUGGCAAUCACAUCGGUGAGGAAUUCACGCGAUGUAAAAAAAUGUCAUUAACAUCGAUUCCUCAAAUUCCGAUUUAUAUGUAUAUAAUUGACAUCGUUUAUUACUGUUGACUGAUGUCUACACUUUGAUUCAAAAAUUUACAAAAACGCGGAAAGACUAAGUUAAAAACUUUCGGGUACGCGGGGAACAAAAUUUUCAUUCCCCCCACACUUUAUUAUUUUUCCUACUUUUAUCUCACUCACUUUCAUCGUUUUCUCUCUCGCUCUUGCCCGAAACUCAAGCCCUCUCCUCCUUCCUCUCCCGCCCUCUUAAUUUCUACGGCCACCAUCGCCUUCCUCUCCGCUCACUCCCGCUACUGUCUCUCUUUCCUUAACCACCUCCAACCCCUCGUCGGCGCUAUCGCCUCCACCCGCAAGCUAUCUCUCUCUCUCUCUCUGUCUCUCUCUCUAUCUCUCUCUCAAGCUUUCUAGGAUCUCAGAAGAUUUCAAUCUGGCAAAGCACCCUCUACAACAGGUUUCAAUCUGAAUUAAUUGAGUUAAUGGUGAGUCACUGCAACUGAAUUCUUUGUUUUCUGUUUAGGUCCUGAGAAUUUUGGGGGUUUUCAAUUUUAGGGUUUUAAUUAUAGAUGGGUGGAGAUUUGGGGAUUCCUACGUUCCCUGAAGAAGACUGGGAGCCCAAUAUAAUCACAUGAUAAAAUGGGUUGGUGAAUCUGAACCUUUGAGCUGAUCAUCGAAUGGUAUUCCUUUUGAAUUUGAAUGUUGGCAUCUGGGUUUUAAUUCUCUUGGUAGCUGAUUUGUAUGUUGGUACCCGUGCAAGCCGAGAGGUAAACUGAGCUUUCUUGUACAUGUCACAAAGUUCAUAUAUGAUUAGCGUUUGAUAAUAUGAUUUUACUUGCAUUGUUAGUUCAAAGGCAUGUCCCUCUUGGAGCAUCUGUUGCUGAUUUGUAUGCAGGAGCAGGUCUGUGAGAUGCAUUGAGAUUAACAAAGAAUCAAAGCUAUCCUUUGAGAAGACGGUUGCCCGCCUGCCAAACAUAGUAGAUAGCAGCAUCAGCUGGCAUCAUGCAGACACUUCUAAGUUGGGACUUGAAAUUUGCAUAUAUUGAAGAAGUUGGGAAGACCAGGUUUGGGAGUUUAAGGAUUUUACUAACCAACUCCAACAUCUUCUGCAGCUGCAACUGAAACAAUCACCUUUCGAACAAUUGGAGCACUUACUAUUUUGAACAACCACCAGCAACAACUUUUGCUAGAUUAACUUAUAGCCCUUUUGUAGAGCUAGCAUUUUUGCACCAGCUCCAGUUGAAUGGACUUCAACUAAAAGCAAAGCGCGGGUAAUUCAUUAAUAACGGUACAUCCUGCAGCAAAGCGCGGGGAAGUUUUCUAGUAUAUACUAUGAAGCAAUCUGGAUACUUGAUGUUUCAAGAAAGGUUGUAGUUUUACUUAAUUUAUGAUGUACUUAAGGAAAUAAGAUGUAUUGAUUCGAUUUUGGCGUGGUUUGUAUGUCCAAAAUCUGUUCACUAGCUGAUGCUUUAAGAUUGUGUAUAAUCAGAUUGCUUGAAUUAAUGCAAUGCCCCAUAUUUAAGAAGCGA